rnacentral:lncRNA from 1 species
AAAAAUAGGUUUUUUUGCAGGGACACGCAAUUUGAAGGGAUAUCUCAUAUAAUUUUAAAACACAGGAUCUCAUAAUAGAAACACUCAAAACAAUAAUAAAAUAACACCAAAGCAGUAGUAGUUUGGUAGUAACUCUCAGACAACUUUUUCCAACUUAAUUAAAUUACAGUAGAAUCCAAUCAAUUCAUGGUUUGGCACAAAGGCAAUACCCAACAUAUGAUGCUGAUGCCACAAGAGAUGUCACAGUCGUAGAAAUACAGUACAUUCGAAAUUUUUUCUGUGCGUCUUCGAAUUUUUUGUCGAUGGUCGUAUCCAGAGAACUUUUUCCAACUUAAUUAAAUUAUAAAUUACAGUAGAAUCCAAUUAAUUCAUGGUUUGGCAUAAAGGCAAUACCCAACAUAUGAUGCUGAGGCCACAAGAGAUGUUACAGUCGUAGAAAUACAGUACAUUCGAAUUUUUUUCUGUGCAUCUUCGAACGGCCCAACUGUCUACACACAUCUUGUUCAUCUCCUCCACGUGGAUUCUAUUCAAGUUUAAACUAUUUUUCCUCCACGUGGAUUCUAUUCAAGCUUAAACUUUUUUUCCUCAUUUCCAGUACUCUGUGUUUCUGGAUUAAAAAAAAAAAAUAAUAAUUAGCUAGAAUUGAAAAGAAAGAAAAAAGAUCAAACAAGUUAUUCAAAGUCAAAAUUUUGAAUCUAAAUCCCAUAAGAAAGAAAAAGUAAAUAAAAAACUCUAGUCUAAAGUGAUACUUAAUCCAGAAAGACUAUAGAAUUUAAAGUUCAUUUGGCAAAAAGUCACUAAAUAGUAAUAAUUAAUAAAAGAUCAACACAUAGAGCUUUGGAGAUUUAAAUUAGAGCUAAUUGCACAUAACCCCUAUGUAAUUUUUAAUGGCAAAAAAAACCCUCAUAUUAAAAAAAAUUAGCAAGAAUCUCCUUAUAUUAUUUUUUACAAAGCAUACUGCCCCUUAUUUCAUAUUUGGCUGUUGACUUAAGAGAAAUGACAAAAUUAACCUUUAUUAAAAAUAACGAACAAUAUCCCAACCCAAAAAAAAUUUAAAAACAAAUGUACAAAAAUAUGAAAAAAAAGAAGAGAAAAAAAUACUAUUAUUUGAUGAGAAACAUGAAAUAUGAAUUUGUGAACCGGCCCGUCGUCCCCAGGACGUGCCCGGUUCUAUGAAUUCGUGAACCGUGAACCGUCGGGCCGGGCCAGCGGUUCACCCAAAUUUAAAAAAAAAAUAAUAAAAAAAAAUCAAAAAAAGCAAAAAACGGCUGGUGAACCGGCCCGGUGAACUGACCCGCUGAACCCGCCGUUUUUUGCUAUUUUUUGAAUUCCCCCCCCCCCCCCCAUUUUUUCUUAAUAAAUACGCUUGCACCCAUUUUUUUCCUAUAAAAUUAAGUUAAAGUCAUUUUAUUUAUUUCGUUUUGUUUUCUUUUUUCUAUUUAAAAGUAAUUAUUUUAAUUUAUUUAUCCAUUAAGCAUUUUUUUUAAAUAUAUAUAUAUAUAUAUAUAUAUAUAUAUAUAUAAAUCAAAUUUUCCGGGCCGACCCGUGAACCAGCCUGGAUAGGCCCGGAACGGGAUUGAACCGGCGGGCCGACCCGACCUACCGAACCGUGCAUAUUACGAGCCGGUUCCGGUUCCGGAAAAAGUGAACCGUGAACCGGUAUGAACCGGCCCGUGGCCGUGUCUAGGUGUUGUCCACAAUAAGUUUUCAGGAGCCUUAAUAAUUUUGACUAAUUUUCAAGGGAGGUCCUUGCUAAUUUUUUUAAUACGAGGACAUUUUCAGCAGUUCGAAAUUAGACAGGUUGUUUUUGCAAAAAAAACCCAUUUAACUUGGUGCAACUACUGCUCAUCUUCCAAAAAAAUUUCCCAAUUUUGUGAAGCUUAUGACUAGAUCACAUGUGGAAACGAAAAAUCUAAAGAAUAAAUUAAAAAAAAAAGUACGGCAACACAAUUCAAUCUUGCUUUUCGAAGCAUGUGUGUAAAAAACUCUACAACCGAGAUUAUUCAAGAAAAUCACCAGAAAUCCGUGAAAAGAACUGUCAAUACAACAUAUCAUUGACUGAAAUAAUCAACAGAAAGAAUCCAUAAAUACAUAUACACACACACACACACACACACACACACACACACACACACACACACACCUUGUUUCAGUAUAAGAAUAAGGAAAUUACCAGAGCAAUUUGGUCAACCAAAUCUCCUCCGUCUUCGUACGACUUGACUAAUCCGGACAUCCUCCGCCUCGAAGAAAUUGCUUCGUACGGAUUGACUAAUUCGGACAUCUUCCGCCUCGAAGAAAUUGAGGAAGGACAAGUGGAUUUCGAAAAUCGAAUCAUACGCUGAAACACAACCAUCAAGAAGAUCUCGCGCAACGGCAGCCCUAGAAGCAACGACGGAUAAAUAUGAUUUUGUUUGCCCUAGAAUUGCCUGCCUCUUAUGUAUUAUAUAUUGUUGGGCAAAGUUCAG